CCUACGGGCGGCAGCAGUGAGGAAUAUUGGUCAAUGGGCGAGAGCCUGAACCAGCCAAGCCGCGUGAGGGAGUACUGCCCUAUGGGUUGUAAACCUCUUUUGUCGGGGAGCAAAAGCCGGACGUGUCCGGCUGUGCGACUACCCGAAGAAAAAGCAUCGGCUAACUCCGUGCCAGCAGCCGCGGUAAUACGGAGGAUGCGAGCGUUAUCCGGAUGUAUUGGGGUUAAUGGGUGUGCAGGCGGAUUUUUACGUCAGCGGUCAAAUCGUGGGGCUAAACCCCAUCCAGCCGUUGAAACUGGGGAUCUAGAGUGUGCGAGAGGUAUGCGGAAUGCGUGGUGUAGCGGUGAAAUGCAUAGAUAUCACGCAGAACCCUGAUUGCGAAGGCAGCAUACCGGAGCACAACUGACGCUCAGGCACGAAAGCGUGGGUAUCGAACAGGAUUAGAUACCCGUGUAGUC
rnacentral:rRNA from 1 species